rnacentral:rRNA from 1 species
UGGGGAAUAUUGGGCAAUGGGCGAAAGCCUGACCCAGCAACGCCGCGUGAGUGAUGAAGGCCUUCGGGUUGUAAAACUCUUUGGACAGGGACGAAGAAAGUGACGGUACCUGUAGAACAAGCCACGGCUAACUACGUGCCAGCAGCCGCGGUAAUACGUAUGGGGCGAGCGUUGUCCGGAAUUAUUGGGCGUAAAGGGUACGUAGGCGGUCUAUUAAGUCAGGUGUGAAAGCGUGAGGCUUAACCUCAUUAAGCACUUGAAACUGAUAGACUUGAGUGAAGGAGAGGAAAGUGGAAUUCCUAGUGUAGCGGUGAAAUGCGUAGAUAUUAGGAGGAAUACCGGUGGCGAAGGCGACUUUCUGGACUUUUACUGACGCUCAGGUACGAAAGCGUGGGGAGCAAACAGG